UACGAAGGGGGCUAGCGUUGCUCGGAAUCACUGGGCGUAAAGGGUGCGUAGGCGGGUCUUUAAGUCAGGGGUGAAAUCGUGGAGCUCAACUCCAGAACUGCCUUUGAUACUGAGGAUCUUGAGUUCGGGAGAGGUGAGUGGAACUGCGAGUGUAGAGGUGAAAUUCGUAGAUAUUCGCAAGAACACCAGUGGCGAAGGCGGCUCACUGGCCCGGUACUGACGCUGAGGUGCGAAAGCGUGGGGAGCAAACAGG
rnacentral:rRNA from 1 species